GGUUGUGGCUCAGUGGUAGAGCACUUGCCUAGUAUGUGUGGAGGCACUGGGUUUGAUUCUCAGCACCCCA
rnacentral:tRNA from 1 species